UGCCGAAGGGCCAGCAGCGGCCCCGAAGCUCCGGGCUGGCCGCGCUGUCGCUCUGCCGCGCCCCGGUCUCGAAGUGAAGGUGCCUCUUCCUGGCUAGCCCACCUACAUGCUGUCAUCACUGGGCUUCUGCAACUCUCAGUCUUUGUGGCUGCACCCUUCCCUUCUGAAUCCUGAGGACCCAUGAGUGUCAGGCCCAUCAUGAAAUUGGUCGUCUUACUGGGGGCCUGGAAGUCAGUCUCCCACUAGCAGCCUUUGGAUGAAGACAUAGAACUCUCAGC
rnacentral:lncRNA from 1 species